GAGUUGGAAUCAAUGGUACCAUAAAUUGAGGAGCUGGAGUCGGUGGUACCAUAGAUUGAGUUGGAAUCAAUGGUACCAUAAAUUGAGGAGCUGGAGUCGCUGGUACCAUAGAUUGAGUUGGAGUCAAUGGUGCCAUAAAUUGAGGAGCUGGAGUCGGUGGUACCAUAGAUUGAGUUGGAGUCAAUGUCAAUGGUACCAUAAAUUGAAGAGCUGGAGUCAGUGGUACCAUAAAUUGAGUUGGAGUCAAUGGUACCAUAAAUUGAAGAGCUGGAGUCAGUGGUACCAUAAAUUGAAGGGCUGGAGUCAGUGGUACCAUAAAUUGAGUUGGAGUCAAUGGUACCAUAAAUUGAAGAGCUGGAGUCAGUGGUACCAUAAAUUGAAGGGCUGGAGUCAGUGGUACCAUAAAUUGAGUUGGAGUCAAUGGUACCAUAAAUUGAAGAGCUGGAGUCAGUGGUACCAUAAAUUGAGUUGGAGUCAAUGUCAAUGGUACCAUAAAUUGAAGAGCUGGAGUCAGUGGUACCAUAAAUUGAGUUGGAGUCAAUGGUACCAUAAAUUGAAGAGCUGGAGUCAGUGGUACCAUAAAUUGAAGAGCUGGAGUCAGUGGUACAAUAAAUUGAG